rfam:Phialophora attae strain CBS 131958 Contig30, whole genome shotgun sequence.
GCAAUCGACCACAGGGUGUGGAAAAUAAGCCUUCCCGUCCGCUCAGGCAAUUCAAGCCACAUGCCGAACGGUUAGUAGUUAAGUGGGUGACUAUUAGCGAAUCCCGUUUGUUGAUUGUU